UCUUUUCUCUUCCUUCUUCUUUCCUUCUCCUUCUUUGUUUCUCCAUGCCGACCGAACCCUUAAAAAUCCCUAACUAUUUCCGGCGACCAAUUCCGGCGAACCAACACCAAAAAUUUAUUCCCCACAUCCUCUUGAGUAAGGUGGCGAAGCACCUCCAAAGGGAAGGAAACCGCCAAUCAGUGUGCGCGUCUCCAUGCGAGGCAACAUGUCUUCUAUAUGUUGGUUUGGAUGGUGACGG